UAAUCUUGUCACUGCACCCUUGAGAAAAGAGAGAGAUCAAAGCUGUUGUGUCAGGCCAGCAAAAGACAAAGACAAAGACAAAGAGUGGCCUUUCAGCUUAGCUUUGGUUACGUUCCUGGUGGAAGACAUGAACCUCCUUAUAUGUGUUGUGCUGCCAUGGCUGCUCUUUGCUGGAGAGCUUCAUGCAAGUACAAAAUCUUCCUACCAGGCUCAGUCUGAGGAGCUGCACUAUGAGCCCGAACCCCAGCCACUGCUCCAGAUGCCUCGCUCUGGGGGUCCUUACUACCACCCCAAGCCUGUGCCCCAGGCC